GUCGGGUGUAAACAACCGCUUGAUGGCUCGCGUUGGUGGCUGCAGCUCAUCCUCCGGUGGCCAGGCGCGUCUGGAAGAGUGAACAGGAAUAAUAUAACGGAACAGACCAGCUUCUCUGACAGGAGUAUCUCACGAAAGUUAUUGGAUGAAUCUCACAAAGCUGGAGAUCCCAACUGGAUGCUAAUCGACCACUACAUAAACCUAUAGCCUCGGGGAGGUCCGAGGGUCUAGCAAGACUAUGUGGUGGACUGAGCUGGACUGCAUUUUCAUAAUUUCAGGACUACGCGAGCAAAAUGUCGCUUCUCUGACAGGAGUAUCUCACGAAAGUUAUUGGAUGAAUCUCACAAAGCUGGAGAUCCCAACUGGAUCCUAAUCGACCACUACAUAAACCUAUAGCCUCGGGGAGGUCCGAGGGUCUAGCAAGACUAUGUGGUGGACUGAGCUGGACUGCAUUUUCAUAAUUUCAGGACUACGCGAGCAAAAUGUCGGGGAGAGCCAGCAGAAAGGAGCAAAACGAAGCGCAGUAAAUUCCGAUGCACUGGAAUUUAUGCAGCAAAUAUUAAC